AUUGAACGCUGGCGGACUGCUUUACACAUGCAAGUCGAACGGCAGCACGGACUUCGGUCUGGUGGCGAGUGGCGAACGGGUGAGUAAUGUAUCGGAACGUGCCCAGUCGUGGGGGAUAACGUAGUGAAAAUUACGCUAAUACCGCAUACGAUCUAUGGAUGAAAGCGGGGGAUCGCAAGACCUCGCGCGAUUGGAGCGGCCGAUAUCAGAUUAGGUAGUUGGUGGGGUAAAGGCCCACCAAGCCAACGAUCUGUAGCUGGUCUGAGAGGACGACCAGCCACACUGGAACUGAGACACGGUCCAGACUCCCACGGGAGGCAGCAGUGGGGAAUUGGACAAUGGGCGAAAGCCUGAUCCAGCCAUUCCGCGUGCAGGAUGAAGGCCCUCGGGUUGUAAACUGUUUUUGUACAGAACGAAAAGGUUUCUACUAAUACUAGGAGCUCAUGACGGUACUGUAAGAAUAAGCACCGGCUAACUACGUGCCAGCCGCCGCGGUAA
rnacentral:rRNA from 1 species